GACAGAGGGUGCAAACGUUGCUCGGAAUUACUGGGCGUAAAGCGUGCGCAGGCGGUUCGUCGUGUCCGAUGUGAAAGCCCCGGGCUCAACCUGGGAAUGGCAUUGGAAACUGGCGGACUCGAGUGUGGCAGAGGGGGGUGGAAUUCCGCGUGUAGCAGUGAAAUGCGUAGAGAUGCGGAGGAACACCGAUGGCGAAGGCAGCCCCCUGGGCUAACACUGACGCUCAGGCACGAAAGCGUGGGGAGCAAACAGG
rnacentral:rRNA from 1 species